UACGUAGGGCGCAGGCGUUAAUCGGAAUUACUGGGCGUAAAGCGUGCGCAGGCGGUUUGCUAAGUCAGGUGUGAAAUCCCCAGGCUUAACCUGGGAACUGCAUUCGAGACUGCAUUGCUAGAGUAUGGGAGAGGGAAGUGGAAUUUCCGGUGUAGCGGUGAAAUGCGUAGAUAUCGGAAGGAACAUCAGUGGCGAAAGCGACUUCCUGGACCAAUACUGACGCUCAUGUGCGAAAGCGUGGGGAGCAAACAGG
rnacentral:rRNA from 1 species